CCUAAGUCAGACUUUCUCCAAGAAAAAAAAAAAAAGAAACUCUAAGGAGACCCUAUUUUUUAUUCUUCUAAGUAGUUAAAAUUAGAAAUCACAGCAAGUCAACAGGAAGCUCUCCUCUGCCAGUCUCCUAAAUCACAAUAUGGCCUUGUCGUGGCUGGAGUAUUUCAAAGGCUCAGUCCCACUCCAGAAUCGGCCCUGUCGCCUCCGCCCGCACUCCAGAGCCGGCUGAGAACCGCAGCGGCGCGGGAUCCACGUGCAGCGUCUCUCCAGGAGAUCAAAGUACUCCAAAAAUGCAGCUGCUUCAGUGACAAGAGGGAAUUACCUUCUCCCAAGCCUCAGGAUCCUGGUACCCGACUUGCCUGCCCCAGGCUCACUCCCAUUCACACAGUCCUUCAUGGCAGUGUCCAGCUUCACCAGGUCAAAGCUACCUAGAUGUCAUCAUACAAAUUACAGGCUAUGACGUCCACCUCAUUCUCUUUCUGGAAGGCUGACCUUAACUGUCCUGCACAUUCCUUACACAGCAUAUUUGCCCUUUUCCUAUACUAAUAAGCCCUAAAUCUUGGGGGUAACAGCCUGGGGAACUACCUGUCUUGCUACCACUCAAGACCAUACUUCUGUCCACAAAUUCCCCC
rnacentral:lncRNA from 1 species